CCCGGUCCGGGGAGCCCGGCCUGGGCGGCUCGGGGGGAGCCGGGGCCGAGCUGUCGCCUCUACAGCCGCCUGGGGAGAGGGUCCGUCAGCAACAACGGGGCGUUUCGUACCUUCCUGUCGAGGUACCUUCGAGGCCGAGAACUCUGAGGGCAUCCAGUUCCCAGUGAGUCUGGAAGUCAACAGGAACCCAAGAGCUGAGUUUAGAGUCCCUUUUGGCAAGAAAAGCACCACCUGGUGAACCACUUUGAAAAGCUGAAAGAAGUAAACUGGUUUGCGAACACGUAGCGAAGCCCUUUGUUCUCACAAAGAAUAAGGUGGAGAUACUUCCCUGCAGUGACACCAAUCAGAGAGGGGCUGAGGAUGGCAGGAGGAGCAGGAUAAAAGGAAGGGAUGGUGUUCAUGGUACAAUGCCCAGCUCCAUGUGCUUCCUGCGCUGUUCCUAGCCAGGUUCUCAGCUCCUAAGCUGAAGUCUGCUGAAGUGUCCUUAGUUUUUGCUGCAUUGGCCGCCAAAGCCCUCUACCUUUCAGUGGAUCCAAAAGCAUGUGUUUUGGAUUGUAAGCAAGAAACAAAGAAUGAAGGAAAGCCAGGAAGUCAUCAAUCUAGGAAAAAAGUUAGAGUUUUAACUAUGGCUCCUCCCAACAAUUGAUUAAAGGCUAAGACAGCAGCUUGGCUGGAAGGACUGCUUCCCUCCUGACUCCCAAGAAAUCUCUUUUCCUUCUGAACCAUGACCAUGUUACUGCACCUCUCAUGAGCUUCAUGUCAGUAGAUCACCACUAGCUGAAGUAAUAGCAAGGUUCAAGCCACCUGUAGGUCAAGGAGGUCAGAUACUUCUCCAUGUCCGUUUCAGUUACUUCAGUGGAACAGAAAGAGCCCCAAGAAAUUCAAGAAACACUCAGCAUUCCCAGCCUCCAGUUUAACAGAACCUGAUUAUCUCCAUUGAAUUCAGAAGUCCCCUGGAUUGAUUUGCUGACUUAAUGUUGGCCAGUGUCACCAGCUGAAUUAUGAACCUUCAUUUGGUGGUGGAACUGCUUACCAGUGCCUCUUCUUGAAGUGUAUUUUUAGUUCUGGAUGUCUAGAAAGUCCUCAGCAUCACCUCAGGAAUGUGCCAAAUCGACGUUAAUUUCCAAAAAGUUCUGAUAUGAGAAGCAAUUAUGUCAAGUAAAAUUCUUGGCUGAGAGAAACUGAUGUUAUCAUUUAAAAAAAAGAUCUGGCAAAGCCACGGUGGUAAUGAUAUGAAAAGUAAAUAAGUGCAGGAGAUAAUACAAAGAUGCUGAGUUGGACAGGAAAUUAUUUCUAAUAUGAAGUCUUCCUUUUAUAAUACUCAUUCCACCAAAAUGAAUCAGUGCACAUCCCCCUGAUUUAAAUGCAUUUAAAUUGCUGUUUAGGUACCCUUAUUCAUUGCUGUUUACAGAAUAUUAGUUUAAAUGCAGAGUUCAUUUAAUUCUGGAUAGAUCAGUAAUUGUGGUAAUGAACAAGGUGUAGCCUCAACCAUAUGCUUUAAGAGAAAUAAAUGCUCAUUUACAAAAUAAAAAUACUUUCUUUUUGUGAUUUCAUAGAGGUAAAAAAAAAUAAAGACCCUUUUCUGGCUCAAGUGAAAAGUUAGGUUCCAUGAAAGCUUAAAGUCAUGACAAUUCCUUGUGCACUACAAAACCUGUGACUGCUACAAAACAAGAUGCACACACUUAAAUUCUCAGCAAUAAAAGUUUCAGAUAAAAAAAAUUAAUUAUUAUUUGAUUAACUGGUAAAAUGUGGUGGUAUAAAUAAUUCAGAUAAUUUCCUUUUCCCACUGAUGAAAAUUCUUGAUAAAGUUACUUUAGUACCAAUUGUCUAUAAAUAGGUUUGAUUAGGGCCUCCAUAUUUUCAGUCAGUGGUUCUACUUUGAAUUGCUGUACAAUUAAUAAACAUGAUUUUAAACUUGUAGUGAUAUGUUACAUAUAUAAACAAUUGUUUAAUUCACAAAAUAAAUGAUGAAGGUGUCAUAGUUCAGCUUUGUAAAGUGGUUAACUUGCUCUUCUUGCCUUCACAAAUGGAGGAAUGGCUGCUUGAUUUAUUUUUUUUUUAAUAAAUAUCUUCAGCAUAUUUUGUAAUAUAA